rnacentral:rRNA from 1 species
AACGAACGCUGGCGGCAUGCCUAACACAUGCCAGUCGAACGAGACCUUCGGGUCUAGUGGCGCACGGGUGCGUAACGCGUGGGAACCUGCCCUUAGGUUCGGAAUAACUCCCCGAAAGGGGUGCUAAUACCGGAUAAUGUCUUCGGACCAAAGAUUUAUCGCCUUUGGAUGGGCCCGCGUUGGAUUAGCUAGUUGGUAGGGUAAAAGCCUACCAAGGCGACGAUCCAUAGCUGGUCUGAGAGGAUGAUCAGCCACACUGGGACUGAGACACGGCCCAGACUCCUACGGGAGGCAGCAGUGGGGAAUAUUGGACAAUGGGCGAAAGCCUGAUCCAGCAAUGCCGCGUGAGUGAUGAAGGCAUUAGGGUUGUAAAGCUCUUUUACCCGGGAUGAUAAUGACAGUACCGGGAGAAUAAGCUCCGGCUAACUCCGUG